CCAGACCAAUCCACGUCCGUCGAUUCGUUGUGAAGGAGAUGCUCCAGAUUUCGUCGCGUUAAAAAAAGAAAUAAGGAAAGCCCCGAUCUGUGCAUACCCCCGCUCGCAAUCAUCUCCCCAAAUCUCUCGAUAUAGCAUUAUAAUCGCCGGCCAUGCCAGAGCUCUGCUUCCCACCUGAGUCGCCUCGCCGCCAGCUCGCUCACCAGAUCCCCUGCUCCGCCGCCGUCUCACCGCGACACCUCUCCGCUCCGCGACCACCCCGGCCACCGCCGCGACCUCGCAGCUCCACCUCACCAGCCCGCUCCAUCCGCCUCACAUCGGUGGACCGCAGCACCCAGCCUCCUGCCCCAUUGUUCCCCACUCGAGCCUCCCCGCCGAUCAGCAUGGCUACCACACAGUCCACUCCACCGACACUACCCUGUCAGAUUCUGCGGAGUUUUCUCAGUCGCUAGGCUAGCCCAUCUACUGAAUCGGCUGCAUCCCCAUCGAUUUGGAUAGGCCGGCCGGAGUAUUGGCCAUUGGAUUUCUAAAUUGCGGCCCUAUUUUGAAGCUCCCCACCCCUGAAUCAAAGCUGACACUCAACAAUGACUAAAAAGGAGUCGAUCAUGCUACAGAGUCGAUAUUCAGCUGGUCGGUUACAUGAUAUUGUCAAGGGUCUCCCACCGAGAAGGAAAUACCUCAUUUGCAAAAAAUGGGGUAAUCUUCUUAAUAUUAGCAAAUUCUUAGCUCCAGGGGGUCUCAUAGAAUGGAUCGUUGACUGAAUUGACCAUAUUUCUUCUGUCUAAUUGAUUUGCUUCCAUAGAUAUGUUGACAUAGCACUAUUUUCAUGCUUCCAAAUUAGACUACAUAUACCUCUUCUGUCUAAUUGAUUAGCUUCCAUAGUUCAACCAAAUUUUGUGAAUUUAGAAUGUAGGUGACAGAAACAUUCAUCCCCAAGAUGGUGCAAAUCUUAGUUGUUUUUUAUUUUCAAUAUUUUAUACUUCCAAUUUAGAUGAUCCAUAUUGAGAUAUCACUUUUUUUUCAUGCUCCCUACCUACUACACUUCUAAAUUGUACUUCAUGUGCUUACCCAGUUUCAGAUAUAUUGUUUCCAUUCUACCUGCUUCAUUUAAUUUUUUUAUCUUGCCAUUAUUUUCAUCAUUGCAAUAUGUCAUGCUCCCAUAUGUUUCUUUGGUCGAUAUAGUUUGUUAUAUUUCUACUGUUCCCAUCAGUCAACACCAUUGUAAUUAACCUAAACAUUGGCAUUGUGCUUCAUGGUUGGUAGCACUAAGUUGCAUAAGUACAACCGUGUGACUACCUUUGUGCCCUUGUUGUUCUAUAUUUCCAAGGUAUUCUAGUUUGAACAGUGCUCCCAUUCUUCCUAGUUUCAUCACAUAUAUGUUGCGCAGGCUUCACUUAAUUCUUUGCCUGCUUCGUACUGAUGGGGCUUCCAAAUUAUACUUCUGAUGCUGCUUUUGUUUUGUUAGAAUGCUUCCAUACUUCCUGCUUAUUUUCUUAUUGUUAUCACUAUUGUAAUAUGCCAUGCACCAUAUUAUAUUUUGUAUGUUUCUUUGGUGUAGGUAGUUUGCUUCCAUAGUCCGUGUUUUUUGUGUGUUUCUAUUGUUCUUUUUGGUUUCAGCACCAUUUUGAUCAAAACACAACAAAGUGUAUGCUGUGACAGGCCAACUCGUUCCUUCCUGUAAAGUCAUAGUUCCUACUUUUGUGUCGCAUAUGUUUCCUACAGUAUUAAGUUUUCUCUUCAUCUCAAUUUUAUAUGCCUCCAUUGCUUAUUAUGUAUGUUUGGAUCAAUCAAAUCGCUGCUCCGUGUAAGCUAUGGUUUCCACUUUUACGUAUCACAUAUGUUUCUAUAGAAAUGCUUUAUUUCUUCUCAAUUUUCCAUGCUUCCACUACCUAUCAUGUAUGUUCUGAUAGACCAAAUUGUUGCUUCGUGUAAGCCAUGUUUAUUUCAUUAUUUCGUGCUUCCACUGCCAUGUUUUGAUAAUUCAAACAUUCUCUGGUAUUCUCAGAGAAGCUUCAGCUGCAUGUUUUGUGCCACAUGAUGUCAACCAUGCACCAUUGGUUUCUCAAAAGCCUUGCACGGACCUCCCCAUAGAAUGGCGGCGGAGGACGUGGUGGAGACUUUGGCGGAUAACGACCGAAGCCCUCCCUAAGGAUGCGCUUGCUGACGUAGUGCGUGAGUUCGAGCUUCUGCAACCUACCACUACCAGGAUACUGCCAUGUUGCGCUAUUAGAUGGCUACAAUGUCCCUUGCUUCCGUCAUAGUGGCAACAAUAUUUAUUCGGCAACAUUUCGUGUUUGCGUUCCCAAUUGCGCUGCUGAACUCAUACCCUUGCUUUCCAGGCAUCUUAUGCAUGGGCCUUGUAACAGUUUUUCGUAUGUAAUUUUUUCAUUUGAAAAUAUACCCUUGCUUCCCAGCCAUCUUAUGGGUGGAUCUUGUAACAAUUUUUCUUAUGUAAUUUUUUUGUAUUUGUAUUAAGCUUUUGUUGCAUGGAAGCAAAUUCCUUUCU